CAUCGCGAGGUGAAAUCUGAAGGAAGCCGAAGGCAAAAUGCUGGCCUGACGAACAGGAAGCGGUUUAGGCGUUGUUGCAGGGUGAGGUGGCGGUUAUCACUAAAGCCCAAUACUUGCACGGAAUGCAGCAACGUAAAGCCGACAGGCAUAAGCAGGAAGGU
rnacentral:ncRNA from 1 species